AUUAAUUACUUAUAUUUACUUAUCGCAAAACGUGAGUUUUAAUGAAAUCAAAAUGGAAAAUUGCUUUCACGUGAACAUCACAAUCUCCUUGUUUUAUUUCAAAAUACACUUUAUUGAUUAAAGAAAUGUGUUUUGUUUCCGUGCAGUUAAUUUAAGAAGAGUUUUAAAAAAAAAUGUUUUAAUAAGAUAACUAUGCGAAUAAAAAUAAUUGUCAUAUACAUAUUGAUGACUAUGAUGACGGGAAGGAUACAUAGCGCUGUGAUCAUCAUCAACCCUCUCCCGCCAAUGGUUCCUGUCGUUCCAGUGUUCCCUGUUUACCCCUGUUUAUACUUUUACCCUGUGUGCUAUGGAUAAUAAUACAUUUCAAUAUCUGCCACUGAAAUUACAAUGACGACGAUCGUCGAAGAAAAUCCCGAGAAAUAUUAUAAAUGUGAAAAUGGCGUUAAAUUCUUCGCUUUUUAAAGAUGGCGUUUAAUUAAAGCUGAUGCUGCGAGUUAAAGCUAGAAUUAUAAAUAAAUAAAUAUAUAUGGAACAGAUCGGGCAGAUUGAGUUAGCCUCGAAGUAAGUAAUUUAUAAGAAUUGAGAAAAGGCUGCGACCGUGCAAAUCAGCAAGUGUAGAAGCGGCAGAACAAACUAUACGCCAUUGCUUUCGGUAUAUUUCGGUAUAUAAUAUAGUACUGACAGAAAGGUAAUCAAUCUUGAUACUUACGUCUUGUUGUUGAUAAUACAUUUUAAAAUAAAUUAAUAGCCACGAGAAUAGCAAAAUCACUGAUGUUAUAAUGAAUUACUUUUGUUAUUAAUUAUAUUUAAUUUUUGGAAUUAUAUUUUAGAUAAAAAGAUGUAUCAAGAUAUAUUAUUAUCUUUAUUUCUGUAAGGUAAUAGAAAUUUACUAUAAUAGAUAUACUUAGAAGAUUUCUUCAAAAACGUUAAUAAUAUUAAGUAAAGUAACACUUAGGUAUAUAAGUUGAAAUAAAAAUGUCGACAAAUGUUUCUGACUGGAAUAAAGAGUAUAAACUGAAAUGUAGAAAAUAACUACACAAAGCUAUUAUUCAAUUGCAGUAAAUUGUAAUGUGAAUUUAGGCAUGAAGGUAGGUAAUGUUAAUAAGCAAAUAAACAAAUUUAUAAUUUU